GAUGAACGCUGGCGGCAUGCCUAACACAUGCAAGUCGAUCGGUAAGGCUCUUCGGAGUACACGAGAGGCGAACGGCUGAGUAACGCGUAGGAACACACCCUCCAGCUAGGGAUAAGACACCGAAAGGUGUUCUAAUACCGCAUAAGGUCAUCGGAUUAAAGCAUUUAUGCGCUGAAGGAGUGGCCUGCGUCAUUUUAGUUGGUUGGUGAGGUAAUGGCUCACCAAGUCGAUGCUGUGUAGCUGGUCGGAGAGGAUGAUCAGCCAGACUGGAACUGAGACACGGUCCAGACUCCUACGGGAGGGAGCAGUGAGGAAUAUUUCACAAUGAGCGAAAGCUUGAUGGAGCAAUGCCGCGUGCAGGAUGAAGGCCCUCGGGUUGUAAACUGAUUUUAUAAGAGAAGAUUAUGACGGUAACUUAUGAAUAAGGGACGGCUAACUACGUG
rnacentral:rRNA from 1 species